rnacentral:misc_RNA from 1 species
GAUGAAGAACGCAGCGAAAUGCGAUAAGUAAUGCGAAUUGCAGAAUUUCCGUGAGUCAUCGAAUCUUUGAACGCACAUUGCGCCCUUUGGUAUUCCGAAGGGCAUGCCUGUUCGAGCGUCAUUAUCACCCCUCAAGCCCUCGGCUUGGUGUUGGACGGUUUGGUGGAGGCCCCCUCGGGGGCUCCUGCCCCUCCCAAAGACAAUGACGGCGGCCUCGUUGGACCCCCGGUACACUGAGUUCUUCACGGGACACGUAUCGGACACAUGGGUUUACGGGACACGGUCUGCCUCCCCUCAGGGAGAAUCUUUCUAAGGUUGACCUCGGAUCAGGUAGGGAUACCCGCUGAACUUAAGCAUAUCAAUAAGCGGAGGA